rnacentral:tRNA from 1 species
AGCUUUUUUAGUUAAAUUUAACGUUGGUUUUGAAGGAACUGAAGAUUUUUAAGCAU